UACGUAGGGUGCAAGCGUUGUCCGGAAUUAUUGGGCGUAAAGAGCUCGUAGGCGGUGUGUCGCGUCGGCCGUGAAAACCUGCAGCUUAACUGUGGGCUUGCGGUCGAUACGGGCAUCACUGGAGUUCGGCAGGGGAGACUGGAAUUCCUGGUGUAGCGGUGAAAUGCGCAGAUAUCAGGAGGAACACCGGUGGCGAAGGCGGGGUCUCUGGGCCGAUACUGACGCUGAGGAGCGAAAGCGUGGGGAGGCGAACAGG
rnacentral:rRNA from 1 species